UCCCUGUUGGCUCAGACAGUAAAGAAUCUGCCUGCAAUGCGGGAGACCCGGGUUCAAUCCCUGGGUGGGGAA
rnacentral:tRNA from 1 species